CCCCAAGCUGGGGAACUCUCUGCGCAUGCGCCUACGUGCUCUGCUGAAAGAGGGCCCGGGAAAACGGAAGAGGGUUGAGAGAACUGGAUAGAACCCUGGGGCCAUGCUGUGAGGCUGCUCUGCUCCUGAUCCGGCUUCCUGCGGAUGCAUCCUGUCCUGGGAGGCAGCAGCUGAGGGCUCAGGUACUUGGGGCUCUGCAAGCCACCUGGGAGACCAGAAUGGAGUUCCAGACUCCUAGCUUCAGCCUGGCCCAGCCCCCGGCCUUGUGGCCAGUUGUGACAUCGGUAUUCACAGAAUGGGAAGCUGUCAAGGUCUGAACUCUGUAUACUCGUGCAGUACCAUGAAGUACACCAAAGCAUUCUGCCCAUGUCGUUUGUUAUUUAACAGCUCACCAACUCUACAAUGCUGGCUUGUGUGAGCCCAUGGAAGCAACUGUGUCCAAUUGUCCAGUGUUUGUUAAAAACACUGAAAAGGAAAUAGCUGCUUAUAUUUUUCUUUCCUUUUCUCCUCCUCUGAAUGGUUCAAAAGUAAAUAAACUGGAUUCCAGCAACCCUGCCACACAAAGCUGAAUUCAUGUCUUCCGUGAUUCCUUGUGCGCUUGUCACGCUCAUCCUGGCUCCGAGGCACUUCAAACACUGUUGAUUUAUUCUCCCAUGAAUUUGAAUGAGGAUAACGCUGCAGAGCCGUGUUCUUCCUGCUCUUUGGAUGGGAUUUCAUGGUCUAUCUACCAACUUAUUAAGAGCACCUACUCCUUCCAGUUUUCAGAAUUUAUUCUGAUUGUAUUUUCUCUUAGUCUUCUUAAUCUUGAAAUAAAGAGCUUUAGGACCCAGCAGAGUAUUAUAUCCACCGAAACAUUCAUUUAGUUCAAUCCCUCAAGACGGCUUGGAAGAAUCAUUUUGAAAAUGUUCACAAAGAAUAUUUAUGAAUGUGGCUGAGCAAUCACAAUACAUUGCCUGCACCAUGCUUCAAAAAUGUGUUCCCAACUUUACGUUUCUAUAUCCUUUAAGCAGGGAAAUAAACAGUUUGGUUGUGGCCAGUCCUAAGAAGAUAAAGCCAUAGUAUGUUUAUAAAUAGCCAUGUUUUAUUCUUUUGAAACCCUUGGAAAAUAGUCAAUAUUUGGAAAACCAGGUAUUAGGAGUUUUCAGAAAGUUAAUGGAAAUGUGUGUUGUGAAAAUGCAUGGAUUUCAAUUUUUUCACCAAAAUAAGCAUAUUUAAAUUCCAUUUUGCUGUGAACUUUAAAAAAUAUUUUAAUUGACCUCUGAGCUUUGUUUAUUUAUUACUCUGAGAGACAGAGAGAACUAGAACUCCAAUCUGCUGGUUCUCUCCCAAAUGUUCACAACGAAACCUGGGAGCCAGUAACUCAAACCAGGUCUCCCACAUGAGUGGAAGGGACCCAAAUACUUGAGCCACCACUGCUGCCUCCCAGGGUGCCCAUUAGCAGGAGUCACAUUUGGGAGUGGAGCUGGGACGUGAACCCAGAUACUCUGAUAUGGGGUAUGGGUCAAACACUACUCUUCCACAGACUGAUAGGCCAAACACCCACCCCUCCAUGAAGUCUUUGAAGUACCGUCAUACUAACAUGGAAUUAGAGUUGCUUGUCUUGAAAACCCUAAGGUAAUUUGAUUCAAAAAUCUAAUUUUCUCCUGAUUUAAGUUAAAAAGGCUAACUUCGGGCACAGAAAGACAAAUACUGCAUUAUCCAAUCUCAGAAAUAUAGAAUAGUAGUUACCAGUGCUUCAGAAAUCUGUGGGAAACGGGGUAACUUUGAGGAUGGUUAACAGCUUAUAUUCUAUGGCUGACUACUAAUUUUAUAUUUCAAAAUAAUGAAUAUUAUCAAUACAAAGAAAUGAUAAGUGUUUGAGGUGAUGGAUGUUUGAUUUGAUAACUGGACAGUGUAUACAUGUAUUGAAAUGCCACAAUGGACCCCACAAAUAUGUACAAUUACUGUGUGUCAAGGAAAAGGAUGUAAAGGCCGAUUUUGAUGGCGCACAAAGAGUAGCCAUCAGGCCAUUUGUGAGAAGCCCCCCUCUGCACAAAAGGGAAGGUGUCCUGAGUUCCAACGAAGACUUCCUCUGUGACUUGAGAGAUCAUUUCAUGUCCCAUUGCCUUCAGCUGCUCUCAUUAAGAAGCAAUAGCUUCGCCAGGUUCUUUUACCACAGGACUAUUAUGUGGAACAAUUAAGGGUUAAUUAAUUAAUUGCAGAACAACCAUGUGAGAGUGAUAAUGAAUAGUUCUUCUGCAUUUCCUUGGCUUUAGAUAAAGCCACUCUAAAUCAAUUUUAAUCAGAAGUCUAGGGUCUCAGUUUUUCAUGACUAGUCACACUUUGAGGUUUAAAAUGAACUUGAAUCUCUUAAAUGGAACUUUUCCUAAAUCAGAUCUUUUUCCCCUGAAAGACCAAUUUCUAAUAUCUAAUUCACUGGGUUAAUCAAUAAAAUUGCUUGCAUUAAAUUUAGUAGUUCAUAAAUCAAUGAAAAUGAUCAGGACAUUUUUCUUUGCUAUUUCAUAUGUUUUGUAGUUGUUAGGUUAAAGGUAGGAAACUCCAUAGUUCAAUGUGGAUUGGCUUCUCUCCAUAUUUUAUCUUUAGAGAUAAAUUCAGACAAAAACUCAGAUGACCUGCUGAUUGUUCAAACACUGACUUUGAUGGAGCUGUUUUCCUCCCAGUCUCCCGGUGCUCACAUGCUAGAGAGAGAGGGAUAUGGUCUGCACCUGUAAACCAAUAGGGCUGCACCAGUGGACUUGCCUGACAGCUGCUGGGAGAGCUGGUGCCUGUUCUUAACUCGAGUUUAGACAGCUGUGGUUCAAAUACCUUGAGCUCUCCAGACCUUUGAUGCCCAGGCAGUAGCUGAACUUUCAUUUCCUUUCUGUCUUCCUCUGUUUCAAAGAGAAUGGGCUUUCUGGUGGACAUUCCCCCACCUUACAGAGCUCUCACGCUCUCUCCUUUCUCACUGAAAGUAGAAAACUUCUAACCCUAGCUAUAAUUUCUGCUUCCCCGGUUUUCCUGUUUCCAAAACAUUAGGCUGGGCUGGCCCUCAAAAUAACAUAUUCCUGUGCUAUUCAGCUUGAAAAAAAAUCAGCUCACUUUUAUUUAGUUCUUUCUACUAAUGCGUACUGACCACUGAAAUAUCACAUUGUACUAACUACUAAGAACAAAGAGAAAGUGUAAGACAGUCUGCAUUAGCAAGAUCAAGUUAGUCUAAAGGAGAGAACAAGAUGGCAAAGCAAGGAGGUAAAGCCCAAAUCCAUUGGUUUUACCUCUCCGUAGUAAAGUUGGUCAUCUGGCCAAAGAAUGAAUGGACAAGUAAGAAGAAAGCUUGAGAAAAGAUAAAACUUCUGUGAAGAUUACAUAUCCAAAGGCAAAACCUGAAAAUACUUAAAGCUCAUAUUCUUGGAAUAGAAAUUCCUGUACUUUUGCUGGGUUCAAAGAAUAUUUCUGACAAAUUCUUCCAGACAGAGCUGUCUGCUUUUAUCUAUGUUAUGUCAAAUUUCUUUCUACAAAUAAUCUAGUGAUAAGAGGGGCAUCAGAGGACGGUGCCCUGUGGCUCAAUAAGCUAAUCCUCCGCCUGUGGCACCAGCACCCCAGGUUCUAGUCCCGGUCGGGGUGCCGGAUUCUGUCCUGGUUGCUCCUCUUCCAGUCCAGCUCUCUGCUAUAGCCCGGGAGUGCAGUGGAGGAUGGCCCAAGUCCUUGGGCCCUGCACCCACAUGGGAGACCAGGAGAAGCACCUGGCUCCUGGCUUCGGAUCAGCACGGAGUGCCGGCCACAGCGGCCAUUGUGGGGUGCACCAACGGCAAAAGGAAGACUUUCACUCUGUCUCUCUCUCUCACUGUCCCCUCUGCCUGUCAAAAAAAAAAAAAAAAAAAAGAGGGGCAUCAGAGAUAAUCCAAUCUAACCCCUCUAUUUAAAAAAAAUCUAACCACCAUUCUAAACUCUUGUCCAUAAUCGCAGUGCUGCACAAUUGUGCACUAUGUCCAGAACUCACUUUUCCUACCCAAUCUUACAUUAUUUCAGGUUAAGAAAUUAAUUACAUAAUCUUUAUAAUUUACCAAAGAUAUUUUCUUAAUAUCAUCAAUCUUGUGCUGAAAUCUUAUCUAAUAUAUAUGGAUAAAUCACAUUAAUAGAAUUAUCUAAAAUAUGACUUGGUAUGUUACAAAAUGGCUACAAAUUCUUUCCUUCUCUCAUUUCUGUCUUGAAUAUAUUCCUCACCUUGUGACUGUUCAUGUGUUCAUUCUUUGAGUUGUAUUUGUGCUUUGAAGUUUGCCCUCUUGCUGUUGUUGGAAUUCAGUCCCCACAUGAAGGAGCACAGGAUAGCUUGCUGGAUAGUGAUAAACACAUGGACCAAUUGGCCCAGUUGCACUUGUCACUUCAGCCAAUAGCCCAGACAACCUUCAGCCAAAUCACCAACUAACUGCAGAUACAUGAGUGAGCCAAGCUGAGCACAGCCAACCCCACUCCAGACAGAAGGACUGCCCAGCCAACUCUUGAACUAAAUAAAUGGUUAUUUUUCCAAA